CCCCUCCUCUCGCCCCGUCGGCGCGGCGGCAGAUCGGAUGCCGGCGUGUUCGACUUCCCCAAGCACCGUGGGCGCUAGCGGAAAAGCGCCCGGACGAAUUCUUUUCAGGGAAAGGCGAGAGCGCGGCUUGUCCGUCCCCAGCCGCCGCCACGAGCAGGGUGAGAACCAAGAACAAGGAUGUUCGGAGUGGGGGAGAGAAGCAGCAGCUACUCUGUUGCCACCACCGAAGGCACCCCCGACUCCCGCAGACGCCCGGCCCCGCUCCCACCAACGCGGGCAGCGAGAGCUUAGCCCCCGGAUGGGCUCGGCUUCAGCGAGGCUCUUUGCCCGCUCUCCAUACCAGCCGCGCGGCUGCCCUCACGACCCCCUCCUCCUGCCCCCCUCGGUGAGAGAGCAAGGUGCGGUUUAGAGGGGACCGCGAUGUCCCGGUGUCGCGAUAGAGCCGCGUGAAGCACUCAAGUCGGGCACAUGGGUAAGCCCCCGGCCGGCAGCGUCCGCACAGAUGAAUGAAUACCCCCACCACAGACCCUCUGCCCGUAGGCCAGUCCGUGGCUAUCACCGCGGCAAGGCUGCUGCUGCUCGAACCCGCUGCUGGGCUGCAGGUCCAGAUCUGUACGCCCGCAAGUGGCCAAGCAAGAUUCAGGCAGACGGGGCAGACGUUCCACGCACGGAACCUGCUUGGGGAAGAGCUCUACGCCGUGGCCAGGGUGUCGGCCCAGGCUCCGGGGAGGUUCCUAGGGUGAGUGGUCACCAUUUGCCCCGGAGUUUCCCGAGGGCAGCACGACCACCAACUCGCAGAUCCCCGCGGAGUCGCGUACGCGUGAACUGAUGUUAAAAAGAAGCACUUGCACCGCUCCCAGCAGAGAAGAUGCCUCUACUCGUGGACUGCUCUCUUCCAAAAAUGUGGCCAUUUACGAACCCGUGAAUUCAUCUGCGCAUGUUUCUGAUUACGUUCAGUCGUCCAAAUAGUGAAAACGCUAAUAGAAUUUAUUGGUCAUAAAUUAUUGUGCACGAAUUUUUCACAGGCUAAGAUCUAUAAAUGGCUCAGUUCUGGCUCAAGUAUAUUUUUGUAGUUGCAAAUGAAAUACUAUAUUAAAAGGUCUCGUUUCCAAAGUCCCCAGUACCCCCUCAACGCUUGAGGUGACUACUGGCUACUAAAACACACACGCACAGUUAUUUCAGCUACGCCUGUAGUUACAGGCGGUCUGCCUUCCUCUAGUAAGCUACUUUCAAGUGGGUUUGCACAAGGUGAUGGAAACUCUUAGUAGUUCCCUUCGAGCAAGGUUGGACUCGGCUUAGGAGGGACCAGAGGGUCCCAGGUUCCCCCCCUAACCCCGCUUUGAGGCAGUCAGGGCAGGGAGGGUGAAACUGUUCUCCCCGCGGGGAGAUCCGCAGCCGCGGACACACACACAGGGUGUCUCGGAGAGCCUUUCAAAUCCCAAAACACUUUUUGAAGGCUUUAUCGGAGUUCAGUUACUUAUCUGGAUUUUUGUUAAACCACUGCUGUGAUCUCCGCGUAGUUGUGCGAGUGCGUUAAUUGUUCUGAUAAUGUGGUGUUAUCGAUACAAUAACAAUACAAUCGUGUGUAAUG
rnacentral:lncRNA from 1 species